AUGCGACCAGGUGCGGGGGUUAAUGUGAUUAUAUAUUAUAUCCAUCGUAAGUUUAUAUACCGAGAGUUAUUGCUGCCGCAAACUUACUAUAUUGUUAUUGCUAUACAUUUGGGCAAUUUUCCAGGUCGUCGGGAUGGCGAUAUCCCCGAGUGCCGUGUACACUCAUCCCAAAACUGGCAAACGUCUCCUCAGAUUUAUCGUUAGAUAUCGUUAUGUUUUACAUGUAGGUAGUGAUAAAAAUAAAUCACUUAGGGAACGUUCAGAAGAGUAUUCUUUUCUUCUUCUUCCUGUUUACAUUUAGCAAGCUGGUGGAAUCAUCUACUUUCGUACUCCACGGCUCCGUCACACCAUUUUUUUGACCUGCUCUACAUGUAUUCAUAUCUUCCCUAAUGACCCUUGGCCGCUUAAGCUACCGGUUUUCUUAGUUAUUUCACUGUUUUUCCGAUAUUUGCAUGGUAUAUUCGU